rfam:Rattus norvegicus chromosome 1, whole genome shotgun sequence.
ACCACUGGGCAUUGCCCCCAGUUUCCCCCAAAUUUGGGCAUUGUCCCCGGGUCUUCCAACGGACUGGGCGUUGCCCCGGGACACUGGGGACUGCCUUUGGGGUCUCGCUCACCUUCAGCAA